rnacentral:rRNA from 1 species
GCGUCGAGCGGCGGACGGGUGAGUAAUGCAUAGGAAUCUGCCCGGUAGUGGGGGAUAACCUGGGGAAACCCAGGCUAAUACCGCAUACGCCCUACGGGGGAAAGCAGGGGAUCUUCGGACCUUGCGCUAUCGGAUGAGCCUAUGUCGGAUUAGCUAGUUGGUGAGGUAACGGCUCACCAAGGCUGCGAUCCGUAGCUGGUCUGAGAGGAUGAUCAGCCACAUCGGGACUGAGACACGGCCCGAACUCCUACGGGAGGCAGCAGUGGGGAAUAUUGGACAAUGGGCGAAAGCCUGAUCCAGCCAUGCCGCGUGUGUGAAGAAGGCCUUCGGGUUGUAAAGCACUUUCAGUGAGGAAGAAAGCCUUGAGGUUAAUACCCUCGAGGGAGGACAUCACUCACAGAAGAAGCACCGGCUAACUCCGUGCCAGCAGCCGCGGUAAUACGGAGGGUGCGAGCGUUAAUCGGAAUUACUGGGCGUAAAGCGCGCGUAGGCGGCUUGAUAAGCCGGUUGUGAAAGCCCCGGGCUCAACCUGGGAACGGCAUCCGGAACUGUCAGGCUAGAGUGCAGGAGAGGAAGGUAGAAUUCCCGGUGUAGCGGUGAAAUGCGUAGAGAUCGGGAGGAAU